GUCGAACGCUGGCGGCGGGCUUAACACAUGCAAGUCGAACGGAAAGGCCCUGCUUGUUUGUGGUUCUCGAGUGGCGAACGGGUGAGUAACACGGGAGUAACCUGCCCUGUACGGUGUGAUAACUUCAGGAAACUGGUGCUAAUACCGGAUAUGAGCGCCUGCUACUGGGGGGGGUUUGGAAAGUUUCGGCGGUUGGGGGGGGACGUCGGGUUUACCAGCUUGUUGGGUGGGUAGUGGCUUAGCAAGGGUUUGGACGCUAGCCCGCCGGGGAGGGUGACCGGGCACCUUGGGACUGAGAUACGGACCAGACUCGUAUGGGAGGCAGAAGUGGAGAAUAUUGCCCAAUGGGCGGAAGCGUGAUGAAACAACGCCGCGUGCGGGAUGAAGGCCUUCGGGUUGUAAAGCGCAUUCGCCUGUGACGAAGCGUGAGUGACGGUAAUGGGUAAAGAAGCACCGGCUAACUACGUG
rnacentral:rRNA from 1 species